ensembl:lncRNA
CCUGCUGUUACUUGGAAUUGUGUAUAUGAGUAUACAUGAUGGAGCUGAGAGGAACAGCAGAAUUAACCAAGAGGCUGUCCAUUCUGAUGCCCAUGAUGAGACAUACACAGCUCUCAACCCCAGGAGCACGUCCUCUGAGUAUGACACUCUGCAGAACGUGAGGAAUGUGAGUGACACCUACAUGCCUCUCCAGAGAAGAGCUCAGGCCUCAGUGUAUGAGACUCUGCAGAGAAGAGAGACGCCCCAGUCAGAGAUGGAGCUGAAGGAUCUCGGGAUGAGAUGCCAACACCAACCAUGACUUCUGGACUCUCCAUCUCAUACUUACUCCUGUCACAGUCUUACGUUGUUAAGGGAUCUUAUUAUCAGUGUUAACUUUUCCCUUGUUUCCCAUGCUAGGGACAUUUAAGGUUUCUCCAUUGGUGUAGGUUUCUAUGACUCUCAUCAUCAUUUAGCACCAGUCAACCU